rnacentral:rRNA from 1 species
UAGGGAAUCUUCGGCAAUGGACGAAAGUCUGACCGAGCAACGCCGCGUGAGUGAAGAAGGUUUUCGGAUCGUAAAACUCUGUUGUUAGAGAAGAACAAGGACGUUAGUAACUGAACGUCCCCUGACGGUAUCUAACCAGAAAGCCACGGCUAACUACGUGCCAGCAGCCGCGGUAAUACGUAGGUGGCAAGCGUUGUCCGUAUUUAUUGGGCGUAAAGCGAGCGCAGGCGGUUUCUUAAGUCUGAUGUGAAAGCCCCCGGCUCAACAGGGGAGGGUAAUUGGAAGCUGGGAGACUUGAGUGCAGAAGAGGAGAGUGGAAUUCCGUGUGUAGCGGUGAAAUGCGUAGAUAUAUGGAGGAACACCAGUGGCGAAGGCGGCUCUCUGGUCUGUAACUGACGCUGAGGCUCGAAAGCGUGGGGAGCAAACAGG